AGUGAACGCUGGCGGUAGGCCUAACACAUGCAAGUCGAACGGCAGCACAGUAAGAGCUUGCUCUUACGGGUGGCGAGUGGCGGACGGGUGAGGAAUACAUCGGAAUCUACUUUUUCGUGGGGGAUAACGUAGGGAAACUUACGCUAAUACCGCAUACGACCUACGGGUGAAAGCAGGGGAUCUUCGGACCUUGCGCGAAUGAAUGAGCCGAUGUCGGAUUAGCUAGUUGGCGGGGUAAAGGCCCACCCAGGCGACGAUCCGUAGCUGGUCUGAGAGGAUGAUCAGCCACACUGGAGCUGAGACGCGGUCCAGACUCCUACGGGAGGCAGCAGUGGGGAAUAUUGGACAAUGGGCGCAAGCCUGAUCCAGACAUACCGCGUGGGUGAAGAAGGCCUUCGGGUUGUAAAGCCCUUUUGUUGGGAAAGAAAAGCAGCAGGUUAAUACCCCGCUGUUCUGACGGUACCCAAGAAUAAGCACCGGCUAACUUCGUG
rnacentral:rRNA from 1 species